GGGGUUGUGGCUUAAUGGUAGAGUACUUGCCUCAUAUGCAUGGGGCACUGGGUUUGAUCCCCAGCACCACA
rnacentral:tRNA from 1 species